GUGAGUCAUCGAAUCUUUGAACGCAUAUUGCGCUCUUUGGUAUUCCGAAGAGCAUGCUUGUUUGAGUAUCAGUAAACACCUCAAAGCUUUUGAUUUUUUUUGAAAGCUUUGGACUUGAGCAAUCCCAACACCAAUCUUUUUCAGAUCGGCGGCGGGUUGCUUGAAAUGCAGGUGCAGCUGGACAUUCUCCUGAGCUAAAAGCAUAUUCAUUUAGUCCCGUCAAACGGAUUAUUACUUUUGCUGCAGCUAACAUAAAGGGAGUUUGACCGUAUUGGCUGACUGAUGCAGGAUUUCACAAGGGUCGGCAACGAUUCUUGUUAAACUCGAUCUCAAAUCAAGUAAGACUACCCGCUGAACUUAAGCAUAUCAAUAAGCGGAGGA
rnacentral:misc_RNA from 1 species